UUAUGUGAUCGUCUCUCGCAUAUCAAUAAGCGGAGGAAAAGAAACUAACAAGGAUUCCCCUAGUAACGGCGAGUGAAGCGGGAAGAGCUCAAAUUUGAAAUCUUAAAGGGUUUCCCUUUACGGAUUGUAGUUUAAAGAAGUGUUUUCUGUUGAGGUUUUGGUAAAAGUUCUUUGGAAUAGGACAUCAUAGAGGGUGAGAAUCCCGUAUUUGACCUUUACUUUCAACUUUGUGAUACACUUUCAAAGAGUCGGAUUGUUUGGGAAUGCAGUCCAAAAUGGGUGGUAAAUUUCAUCUAAAGCUAAAUAUUGGCGAGAGACCGAUAGCGAACAAGUACCGUGAGGGAAAGAUGAAAAGAACUUUGAAAAGAGAGUUAAACAGUACGUGAAAUUGUCAAAAGGGAAGCGUUUGACACCAGUGUUGUUUUUCUGAAAAUCAAUUAAAGAACUGUUUAUGCUAAGCUGUUUAGACUUUAUCAGCUAUCUGUUUAGUUUUGAGCUUUUCUUUAAUGCACUUUUCAGUUAACAAGUCAACAUCAAUUUCUUUUGCUGUAAAAAAGCUUGAGGAAGGUGGCUUGAGAUUCGUCUUAAGUGUUUAUAGCCUCUUGCCUAUGCAGUCGGAGAGAUUGAGGUCUGCAGCGUAGAUCCUUCGGGGCUAAAUGCAUUUGUGCUAAGUUAUAGCAUUUUAUAGACAACUUGUUGACUAUGAUUUGUCUUGUAGCUUACUCGCUUAUGUUAUUUUACCUACGCUUAGGAUGUUGAUCUACAGAGCGAGAGU
rnacentral:rRNA from 1 species